rnacentral:snoRNA from 1 species
GAGGAUAUGAUGAUCCUUUCCCCAGAUGAUCAACAAUGAACAUACCGUGCGAUUGUUUUCUCUUAGGAGAUAAUCAAGCCUGAACAUUAUCCUC